rnacentral:rRNA from 1 species
CUGCAGCCCGAGUGGUGAUCGAUUUUAUUGAGCCUAAAGCGUCCGUAGCCGGUCUAGUAAACUCUUGGGUAAAUUGGGCAGCUUAACUGUCCAAAUUCCGAGAGGACUGCUAGACUUGGGACCGGGAGAGGUCAGAGGUACUCCAGGGGUAGGGGCUAAAUCCUGUAAUCCUUGGGGGACCACCAGUGGCGAAGGCGUCUGAUUAGAACGGAUCCGACGGUAAGGGACGAAACCCUGGGGCGCGAACCGGAUUAGAUACCCGAGUAGUCC